UUGCAAUGAUGAUGAUUGAAGAUUGAAUAACCGAAACCCGAAAAAAUUAUUUGUCACCCAAACAAGAACGAAUGACAAACGACAAAAUUAUAUAAUCGAAUGAACAAAUCAAUUGAAGUUAGGUCUAUUCAAUCAGCUAAUUGAAUCUUUGUUGGUUGUCAUCGACGUUGUUGGUUGUCGUCGUCGUCUCGGAGCCAA